UAUCCACUGAGAAGCAUUCACUGCCGUUUAAUAGUUUUGGUAAGACAUUUACAGGGUGUCUUGGUUGAGAAUUUGGUAAGCAAAUUGAUGUUGUUGUCAUGACAUGUCCACAGUUUUUUUUAACUUUCUUUGCAUUCUUUUCCAAUUUAACAUUCUGUAUAGCUUUAUGAGAUGAUUGAUCCUCAAGGGUUCUACCAUGUAUUGCCCAGCAUAAGCUUUUCUACCUGCUGAGCCGUUAAUGGUUGGUAACAUAUGAAGAAAUGCUUUGCUGGAAUAGGUUGAAAAUGGAACUGUGAUUGGAAACUGGACUGAACACUUUUAGCUAGUUCUCCUAGAAAGUGACCAAGUUGUUCCCUCCAAGUAAACCAAACGAAGCAUACAGGCAGGAAGCGAAAAGUGCUGAAGAUAUGAAAGGUAAAGUAUGAAUGCUCAUAACCUUUAUGAACUGUAAAGCGUUUCUCUCUUAACAUACUUCUAAUGAUCAGAAAAGUUUUAUAUAGCCUUGGAGGAAUUGCAGAAGCUGAAAAGGGACAGUAGGGACCAGAAACCAUAAGCAUAUUUGGGUGAAAAGAAAGUAGGGUGGGAGAGAGACCCAUACCAGAAUAUUAAUUGAUAUACAUAUUUAAGGCAGAACUGUGGGAAUUCAGUUUCUGCUCUUACAUGGCAUCCAUCAACAGAAAAGCUCAUCACAUUUACCUCUCAUUGUCCCCCCUUACUAACCCUUUCAAUUUAAUGACUUCUAAUCUCACAGAAUUUCCUCUUCCUAUCCUACAGCUCACAAUGCAGCAAGUACUACAAAAAGUAUCUCUCUUCUGUACAACCCUCCUCUUUGCCUUGUACGACAUCUGAUCAAAGCCUCUGGAAAGACCAGCAGAGAGAGAGAGAGAGAGAGAGAGAAAUGGUUUGGCAUUUGCUGUCCUUCAGUUAUGGAGAGGAUUUGGCCCAGUUGGGACUAGCCUGUUUUCAGCAACAAAACUUGAUGCUGUGCCUUGUUUCUCAUCCCGUGUUCGAAAUGCAGCCAGUGAAGCAUAAUGGUGAAUUUGCUGCUUUUGCAUGUGAAUGACAUAAUUGCGAAUUCUCCUUGUACGGCUGCUCCUGAGAUUGGCUGAUGUGGACUGAGCUCCAGGCAGAAGUAAGAAUAGGAACACUAGUGCCAACAGAAUGUUCUGGCUGAAGACAGCCAUGGAAAGUAGUGUAUGUUUGGAUGUAAAGAAGAAGAAGAAGAAGAUGAGGAUGUUUCAAAUUUUCGCUACAGAAUCAAGAAAAGAUGCCUACUAUUUGAAUAGCAGUAGUGUUAUGCUGUAUUACUUACGUGCCUUUGUGUCGAGGAAACAUGAGUUGAUGAGUGAAAGAUGAGAGGAGCUACACAGAAGAGAAGUAACAAGUGAGAUAGAUAGAAAGAUAAAAUAGAGGGAUAUAUAGAGUUGGUGGUAAUUGUUUCUCUUUGGAAAGAGUUUUUUUGAAAUUUUGGUUUGUUGUUUAAUUGUUUUGAGAAGAGGGUAAUAGUUGUAAAGGUGCAGGUGCACUGGGAGGACUUGGAAGUAAGCAUUUACUUUUACACGGUCGAAGAAAGUAAGCACUGGCUCCUACCUCAUUUGUCCUUCCAAGGAAAUUCCAUUUGGAUUUUCCCUUGGAC
rnacentral:lncRNA from 1 species